UACGUAGGUGGCAAGCGUUGUCCGGAUUUACUGGGCGUAAAGAGCGCGCAGGCGGUCGUUCAAGUCGCGUGUGAAAGCCCCCGGCUCAACUGGGGAGGGUCACGCGAUACUGAUCGACUCGAAGGCAGGAGAGGGUAGUGGAAUUCCCGGUGUAGUGGUGAAAUGCGUAGAUAUCGGAAGGAACAUCAGUGGCGAAAGCGACUUCCUGGACCAAUACUGACGCUCAUGUGCGAAAGCGUGGGGAGCAAACAGG
rnacentral:rRNA from 1 species